rnacentral:misc_RNA from 1 species
UCAAACUUGGUCAUUUAGAGGAAGUAAAAGUCGUAACAAGGUAUCCGUAGGUGAACCUGCGGAUGGAUCAUUCAAAUGUGAUAUAUGGUCAUUUUAUACAUGGCUAUAUUCUGUUUUGUGCAACGUUUUAUUGUGUAUGUGUGCCUUUCUCUUUCUCUUUGGAGAGGAGUGUAGGCACAUGUAUCUUUUUUUACUCUUAAUUUCUCUCAUUUCAUUCUUAUUACAAACAGAACCUUGAAAACUGCCAGCAAUGGAUCCCUCGGUUCUCGCAUCGAUGAAGAACGCAGC